UACGAAGGGGGCUAGCGUUGCUCGGAAUUACUGGGCGUAAAGCGCACGUAGGCGGCUUUCUAAGUCGGGGGUGAAAUCCUGGAGCUCAACUCCAGAACUGCCUUCGAUACUGGAAAGCUCGAGUCCGGGAGAGGUGAGUGGAACUGCGAGUGUAGAGGUGAAAUUCGUAGAUAUUCGCAAGAACACCAGUGGCGAAGGCGGCUCACUGGCCCGGUACUGACGCUGAGAUACGAAAGCGUGGGGAGCAAACAGG
rnacentral:rRNA from 1 species